rnacentral:rRNA from 1 species
UAGAGUUUGAUCCUGGCUCAGGACGAACGCUGGCGGCGUGCUUAACACAUGCAAGUCGAGCGAUGAAGUUUCUUCGGAAAUGGAUUAGCGGCGAACGGGUGAGGAACACGUGAAGAAUCUGCCCUCCACUUUGGGAUAACACCGGGAAACCGGUGCUAAUACCGAAUAUUGAAACAUAAGUGGCAUCACUGAGUUUUGAAAGAAUUUCGGUGGAGGAUGACUUCGCGGCCUAUCAGCUAGUUGGUGAGGUAAUGGCUCACCAAGGCAACGACGGGUAGCCGGCCUGAGAGGGCGACCGGCCACACUGGGACUGAGACACGGCCCAGACUCCUACGGGAGGCAGCAGUGGGGAAUAUUGGGCAAUGGAGGAAACUCUGACCCAGCGACGCCGCGUGCGGGAUGAAGGCCUUCGGGUUGUAAACCGCUUUCAGCAGGGAAGAAGCGAAAGUGACGGUACCUGCAGAAGGAGCACCGGCUAACUAUGUGCCAGCAGCCGCGGUAAUACAUAGGGUGCAAGCGUUGUCCGGAAUUAUUGGGCGUAAAGAGCUCGUAGGUGGUUCGUCACGUCGGAUGUGAAACUCUGGGGCUUAACCCCAGACCUGCAUUCGAUACGGGCGAGCUUGAGUAUGGUAGGGGAGUCUGGAAUUCCUGGUGUAGCGGUGGAAUGCGCAGAUAUCAGGAGGAACACCAAUGGCGAAGGCACAUCUCUGGGCCGUAACUGACGCUGAGGAGCGAAAGCGUGGGGAGCGAACAGGAUUAGAUACCCUGGUAGUCCACGCCGUAAACGGUGGGUGCUAGCUGUGGGCCACAUUCCACGUGGUCCGUGACGAAGUUAACACAUUAAGCACCCCGCCUGGGGAGUACGGCCGCAAGGCUAAAACUCAAAGGAAUUGACGGGGGCCCGCACAAGCGGCGGAGCAUGCGGAUUAAUUCGAUGCAACGCGAAGAGCCUUACCAAGGCUUGACAUAUAGAGGAAAAGUGCAGAAAUGUACUCCCCGCAAGGUCUCUAUACAGGUGGUGCAUGGUUGUCGUCAGCUCGUGUCGUGAGAUGUUGGGUUAAGUCCCGCAACGAGCGCAACCCUCGUCCUAUGUUGCCAGCACGUAAUGGUGGGAACUCAUGGGAUACUGCCGGGGUCAACUCGGAGGAAGGUGGGGAUGACGUCAAAUCAUCAUGCCCCUUAUGUCCAGGGCUUCACACGUGCUACAUUGGCGCAUACAAAGGGCUGCGAUACCGCGAGGUGGAGCCAAUCCCAAAAAGUGCGUCUCGGCUCGGAUUGGAGGCUGAAACUCGCCUCCAUGAAGGCGGAGUUGCUAGUAAUCCCGGAUCAGCAAUGCCGGGGUGAAUACGUUCCCGGGUCUUGUACACACCGCCCGUCACACCACGAAAGCAAGCAACACCCGAAGUCGGUGAGCUAACUCGCAAGAGAGGCAGCCGCCGAAGGUGGGGCUCGUGAUUGGGGUGAAGUCGUAACAAGGUAACCGU